ACCGCAUCCAUGUCCUCAUUAACUGCAGGCUUGUCCGCUUGUCUCUGUCCGGCUGUUUGUCCAACAUGCUUUGCUUGUGAAAUCAAGGAAAUAAUUACCAUUGCUUCAACAUGUGGGUCAGCGGCCUGUCUAAUGAAUCGGACCAGCUGUUGAAAGACAUUUAAAAAAAAAGAACAUUUGAUAUUAGAAUAAAACAGACCCAAAUCUGCUUUCAGGAACUGUUGUUGUCCCAGGAGGCAUGACACCAAUCCUCCAGUGUAUUGGAGAAGCUGUCCUGUCCCACCAAAAUCUAUGGUCACGAGAAGUUGCCAGAUGUACCACCCUUAAGGUGUACCACCCAAAUAACCAGCAUUUUUAUCCUGAACGGUGCAGUUUUGUUCACUCUUCUGAAGAGAAAGGAGCCUAAGUUUGUCUGCUGAUGUGUCAAAAUGUGGUUUGUCAUUACAUAAAUGUCAUCAGGAUUCAAUAAAGCAGUGGGAAGCUAUGUCAACAAAACUACCCACGAUUUCACUGGAAUCAAAGGGGGGUGGAAAAAAAAAAAGCCCUUUUAGUGUGGGCAUAGAUCAGCCUUUAUGUUUUUCCUAGAGCAGAGGUUCCAACUUGCUUAUAAAAGUUCAUCAGAAUGAAUUCAAGAGGUAAUAUGAGGGACUAGGCAUGUCAGAAUCAAUUUGCAGUCCUGCAGGAUGGCGGGAUCUCAAGGAACAGCGUUGGGGAGUACUCUAGGUUAAGAUCUUGUCAAAUGGGAAUACCAGAACCUUUCGAACUUCAUCCAAGUCGGCCUUAAAACUGCAAAUCCGUACAAGCCAUGUUGGAUUUGGAAAAGGUCAGCAAGUCCUCGAUGAGCAUGAAAAACCCGACUUGUUCUUUCAGCAUGAUGAAAGAAGACGACGACGAUGAUGAGAUCAUUCAGCACCCACCAGGUCUCAGUGAAUGACUUAGCGUUUGAGUUUAUACAGCGCAUACGGAGGUGCGUUGUCUCACUGAUGAUUUAUAGUUGGUAAAACACCUACACAACAUGUUGUAUGUAAUGGCGUGGGUGGUCAAUAAUAUUAUUUCAGAAUAUUAGACAUUACCUACGGACACUUAUGUCAUAUAGUGAGAAGGUCAUUUUGAUGUUCAACUUGCUGUGCUUUUCUUAGAGCCUUUGAGAUUUGUAAUGAGUUCUUUGCAGGUCAAAUUAAAAAAGUAAAAGAGAAAAGUUAAAUUUU
ensembl:lncRNA